CAGUAGCCGCGGUAAUACGUAGGGUGCGAGCGUUAAUCGGAAUUACUGGGCGUAAAGCGUGCGCAGGCGGUUCGUUAAGACAGAUGUGAAAUCCCCGGGCUUAACCUGGGAACUGCAUUUGUGACUGACGGGCUAGAGUAUGGCAGAGGGGGGUAGAAUUCCACGUGUAGCAGUGAAAUGCGUAGAGAUGUGGAGGAAUACCGAUGGCGAAGGCAGCCCCCUGGGCCAAUACUGACGCUCAUGCACGAAAGCGUGGGGAGCAAACAGGAUUAGAUACCCGCGUAGUCCCUGUCUCUUAUAC
rnacentral:rRNA from 1 species